rnacentral:misc_RNA from 1 species
UCGAAACCUGCAGAGCAGAACGACCCGCGAACCUGUUCAAACACUGGGGUGGCCGCGCGGGGGGGGUGCUUCGGCCCCCUUCCGCGCGUCACCCUCCCGUCCCCGGCGUGCGCCAGCGCGCGUCGGGUGAUUAACGAACCCCGGCGCGGAAAGCGCCAAGGAAUACUAAACUGACAGCCUGCCUCCCGCGCCGCCGUCCGCGGUGCGCGCGGGGGUCCUGUGCUUCUUUUGUAACCGAAACGACUCUCGGCAACGGAUAUCUCGGCUCUCGCAUCGAUGAAGAACGUAGCGAAAUGCGAUACUUGGUGUGAAUUGCAGAAUCCCGUGAACCAUCGAGUCUUUGAACGCAAGUUGCGCCCGAAGCCAUUAGGCCGAGGGCACGUCUGCCUGGGCGUCACGCAUCGCGUCGCCCCCCGCACAGCGCGCCCAAAUUCUUGGCCGCGGCAGUGUCGUGGGACGGAUACUGGCCUCCCGUGCGCCUCGAGCUCGCGGCUGGCCUAAAUGCGAGUCCACGUCGACGGACGUCACGGCAGGUGGUGGUUGAAACUCAGCUCUCGUAGUGCCGUGGCCGCAGACCGUCGGCAGUUUGGCUCCUAGACCCUUCGUGCGCUUAGGCGCUCCGA